AAAUAUGGUUGAAACAAGAUUCAUCGUGAGAAGUCAGCAGAUACCAUAGUAGUGACUUAGACGACGAAGUCAUGAAGGGU
rnacentral:ncRNA from 1 species